GGACAUUUAGCUCAGUGGUAGAGCACUACAUUCACACUGUAGGGGUCGCAGGUUCGAUACCUGCAGUGUCCACCA
rnacentral:tRNA from 1 species